GGCGAUAAUUGCCCAAUAGGCCUGCAAAGCCUUUAUCCCCGGUUCGAAUCCGGGUCUCGCCUCCA
rnacentral:tRNA from 1 species